AUUGAACGCUGGCGGCAGGCCUAACACAUGCAAGUCGAACGGUAACAGGAGACAGCUUGCUGUUUCGCUGACGAGUGGCGGACGGGUGAGUAAUGUCUGGGAAACUGCCUGAUGGAGGGGGAUAACUACUGGAAACGGUAGCUAAUACCGCAUAACGUCGCAAGACCAAAGACGGGGACCUUCGGGCCUCUUGCCAUCGGAUGUGCCCAGAUGGGAUUAGCUAGUAGGUGGGGUAACGGCUCACCUAGGCGACGAUCCCUAGCUGGUCUGAGAGGAUGCCCAGCCACGCUGGAACUGAGACACGGUCCAGACUCCUACGGGAGGCAGCAGUGGGGAAUAUUGCACAAUGGGCGCAAGCCUGAUGCAGCCAUGCCGCGUGUAUGAAGAAGGCCUUCGGGUUGUAAAGUACUUUCAGCGGGGAUGAAGGGAGUAAAGUUAAUACCUUUGCUCAUUGACGUUACCCGCAGAAGAAGCACCGGCUAACUCCGUGCCAGCAGCCGCCGUAACAC
rnacentral:rRNA from 1 species